rnacentral:rRNA from 1 species
GUGAGGAAUAUUGGUCAAUGGGCGAGAGCCUGAACCAGCCAAGUCGCGUGAAGGAAGAAGGAUCUAUGGUUCGUAAACUUCUUUUGCAGGGGAAUAAAGUGCAGGACGUGUCCUGUUUUGUAUGUACCCUGAGAAUAAGGAUCGGCUAACUCCGUGCCAGCAGCCGCGGUAAUACGGAGGAUCCGAGCGUUAUCCGGAUUUAUUGGGCUUAAAGGGUGCGUAGGUGGUUUGAUAAGUCAGCGGUGAAAGUUUGCAGCUUAACUGUAAAAAUGCCGUUGAAACUGUCGGACUUGAGUGUAAAUGAGGUAGGCGGAAUGCGUGGUGUAGCGGUGAAAUGCAUAGAUAUCACGCAGAACUCCGAUUGCGAAGGCAGCUUACUAAGCUACAACUGACACUGAAGCACGAAAGCGUGGGGAUCAAACAGGAUUAGAUACCCUAGUAGUCC